rnacentral:misc_RNA from 1 species
GAAAUGCGAUAAGUAAUGUGAAUUGCAGAAUUCAGUGAAUCAUCGAAUCUUUGAACGCACCUUGCGUUCCUUGGUAUUCCUUGGAGCAUGCCUGUUUGAGUAUCAUGAAAUCUUCAAAGUAAAUCUUUUGUUAACUCAAUUGGUUUCUACUUUGGUAUUGGAGGUCUUUGCAGCUUCACACCUGCUCCUCUUUGUUCAUUAGCUGGAUCUCAGUGUUAUGCUUGGUUCCACUCGGCGUGAUAAGUUAUCUAUCGCUGAGGACACUGUAAAAGGUGGCCAAGGUAAAUGCAGAUGAACCGCUUCUAAUAGUCCAUUGACUUGGACAAUACUUUUAUGAUCUGACCUCAAAUCAGGUAGGACUACCCGCUGAACUUAGGC